UCAAACAAUAUUCGGAGUUUU
rnacentral:piRNA from 1 species